rnacentral:lncRNA from 1 species
AUGGUGGUGGUGGCGGGGAGUCCGUGCUGUGAACUGAUUUUUCCAAUAAGAGGAAGUGGGGAAGAUUGUAUCGUGGGAACACAAGUCCAAAUAUUGAAAUCCCUCCAUUGUGACAACCCACAGCAGACUUUUCUCGGGCUUUCCAGGAACCCAGAAAUUUAUGGGUGUAUUUCAUACACACAGGAAAAAAAGAAAGAAGGAAGGAAAGAAAGAAAUUUUCUCUGUGGACUCCUCCCUACGCCCAGGAUUCUUCUGGGACCUCUGCAAACAAAGCUGCAGCCCCAAUUUCGUGAGCCAACAGCGAUUUCCCCCCCUAAGGUAUCUUUUGCUCAUUGAACACUCUUGUUUAACUUCAAAGAACGGAAGAAGUCCUAGGAGAGGAGAGGCAGGGGGCCAAGGGCGCCUCUCUGUAUCCUUUUUACUCCCCACUACUGAAAAUCUCUUUGGCCCCCCUCUUUCUUGAAGAAGAGCAUUCAAGAGCUCCCUACCCCUCUUUAACACUUGGAAUAAAACAAAAUCUUUUUUUUUCUUCCAUAUCAUUUUCUACUUUUAUCUGAGGUAGAUAUGGAAAGGGAACUUGGGAACAAUUAAACUAUUGCAGA